GAACAACACAGGGGGAGCAUACAACAGGGACGAACAGAGGAAACCAGGGGAGAAGAAGGAAGACCGAGGGAGCGAAGGUAAUACAGACAGACCAGAGGAGAAAAUCACAGACCAGAGGAGAAAAUCACAAGGAACGAACAGACAGAAAGACGAAGAAGAAGAGGCACAGAACAGAAGGCGAGAGAACAGGACGAACAACACAAGAAUACCAGGAGACAAAUACAGAGAAAGAACAGGCGACCCAAGAAAGUGAAAGACGAGAAGAAGCAGAGGAGAGAGUUUCUUUUCGGCAAGCAACCUCACGCCUUCAUCGCCAUCAUCCUCGACUUGCAGCGACCAGGUAAGUUCUUCAUUUCCCUCUCCUUUACAAUUGUAAUUGCAUAGGUACUGUUCAUAUGCAGUUUUAAUUCACUCUUGCGACUUCAGCAAUUGUAAUCCUGUGGCUGGGUGUGCACGCGUGCCUUAUCCUUUUAUUUUCACCCUCAAUGUUCUUAAAAAUCUUACUCUACAUGAAAAAAAUAAUAUAAACUCGAAAUAAAAAAAAAUAAUAUAAACUUGAAUCAUAAAAUUAUAAAAAUAUAACUAAAAUUUUUAAAAUAAUUAUAGAUUAACAAUUUUAGUCAUGAAAUUAAAUUAUAUUAAAAUUUAAUAAAAUAAGUCAACAAUAUUAUAAUCAAUGAGUAAUAUAAAUAAAAUAAGAGAAAUAAAUAGUAAGAAUCAAUAAAUUAAUGAGAUGGAGAAAUAAAAAGUUUCAGAACAAAACUUCUUAAUAUAUGAAUGAUAGGAAGUAUACAUGAAUCUGGUGAUAACUUGGUUGUUCUCAUCUCAAUAAGUCCUAAUGGACCUCUUUCGGGUUGCAAGCUAAUGAACUUAAAGUAGUAAUUAACUAAUAUAAAUUCAAUAAUAAAAUAAAUCUGUAAACAAUAUCUAAUGCACUAGAAAAAAAAAUUCAAAUUCAAAAUAAUUAUUCAAAAAUAAAUAAAUAAAAUAAUAAAAAAAAGUCUUCAUGUUAAAAUUCCUCUAUGUAUUUGCGAAUCUCCAAUUUUUGCAUAUAUAUUGGCAGAUUUGAGUCAUGAUUUCAAACAUAUCGUUCUCUCUCGUGUUGAUGAAUUACUGGGCGUACGAUAUAUGGUUGGAAAGCUUUAGAUGUCUAGUUUCCAACCCAACUUUAAUCGUAGCAAAAUUCUACUGGUAGCUUUAGAUAUGUCUCAAACAGUACAUAAAGGUCUAGCUUGACAUAUUUGACAAGAUUCAUCUACUAACUUUGACCCUCUGAAAUAUUAUGUUCUCAAACUCCAUUUGACUUGAAAAUUUACGAAAAUAUAUAUUCAUGUGUUUAAUAUUUCCCUAUAAAAUUUUAGCUUUAUCCAAUAUACAAAGUGAAAGAUAUGUCAAAUCUCACAAAACUAGUCAGUAGAUAUUUUAAGACCAAAUUUGGAUCUGACUUGGUUCAGAUCACAAAUGUAGUAAACUCAUAAAAUCAGACUGAGUUUACCGAGUUUACUGAUUUUAACAUUUUUGCACAAGUUAGGUAUGACUUUACAAGUUAAAUACAUGUUGACUCAUAAAAUCAUAUAAUUUUAUGAGUUACCUUGUGAUUUUAACAACAAUGUUCACACUCUUUUAUUUUGAUAUCUAGUCAAAUAGGUCUUUUCUGAUAUAAAAAAUUUCCAAAAACAUUUGUGGAUCUUUUUGAAUUUAUUUGUAGGUCCCUUGCAUUUUUUUUAGGUAUUUCACUAUAUUAUUGAUCUGUAGAUUUUUACUGUAAAAUACAAAUCUGCUAUAUGAUAUAUUUAAAUAUAUAUAUAUAUAUAUAUAUAUAGAAUUUUUAAACGUCUGCGAUAAUUAUUAUUAUUAUUAUUGAAAAUGAUGAUGAUUCUAUGAUAUUAAUUACUAAUUAAUAACUAUCCAAUUAGGUAAAUUGAUUAUUCCAUACUAAAUAAAAUUUUUAUCUUUGUUUAUAUAUAUAUAUAUAUGUGACCUAUAUAAACCUACGACAAAUAAUAUCGAUUGAUGGUAAGCUUUCAUGUCUAAUUAUAUCAUAUAUAGGUUUGAAGAGGUAGGGUGAAUGCUGCCGCAAAUGUUACCGUUACUGUCAGCGCCGAAAACUACACGGGACUCUCUUACUUUACUCAAAGCAUCCUCUUCCCCUUUGUUUCUCUCAUCACAUACUCUCUUUUGUGAGAUGCCAAGGAAGUAGGAACAAUGCAUAUACCCUUUCUGCUUAUAAUUAUUAACUAGUCCAAGUUUGGUACUUUCCCAGAAAUAUCAUCUUGAGCUCGUUGUAAUUAUAUUUUAUUAAUAUCUUCAAAGUUAGAAAUUCUAAAAUAUAUAUGAUC
rnacentral:lncRNA from 1 species